UACAUUGAAUUGAAACAGCCAUCAGGUCAUUCUGAUGAGGUGUGACAAAGUCGACAGGAUGUAGACUCAUUCACGUGUCUUUGCUUGAGUCUUAGCUUUUGGCGCUCAAAAAACAACAGGUUAAUUGACACUUCAUUUGUUAAGACUGUGGAGGUGGUCGAAUCGAAACUUGCUUUAGUUCGAACUAAACGUGAUAGAGGUAAGACGUUUACUGCCACAAAAAACUGCUGAAUCGCUCUUCAUUGCAAAAGAUUACUAUUCUGGGUUAAUUUCAUGUUCGCUAUACCUUCUUUCUAUAAUUUCGUUGCUUGUGAAUGAUGAGCCUCUUUUUUCUCAGAUGACUUGGAUUUGGGUAUGCUUCUCAAACAAGGGAGGAAGUAGGAGGGUCACUGCCCUGGUGGAGGCAGACAGUGUAGAGGAGCUGAGGGAGGAAGGAAAAAAAGCGCUUAGACUUCAGGGAGCCAUGGUAGACAUGGCUCUUGAGGAUGGCACUAUCAUCAAUGAUGAUAGUCAAGUCAUGUUUGCCGCCCUCCCUGAAGAAAUUCAGGUCAAUUUUGAAAUAAUCGAGAUUGAAAGAACUCCUGUAUAUGAUUUGAAAAUUUUUUUUUUUUUGGAAAUUAUAUUUUUACAAUUUGUUUCAAUUUUUUUAAUUAUAUUAAAUCUUCUGUAGCAAAA